rnacentral:misc_RNA from 1 species
UCCGGCUUAUCACCGGCAGUCCCACUAGAGUGCCCAACUAAAUGCUGGCAACUAAUGGCGAGGGUUGCGCUCGUUGCGCCACUUAAGGCAACACCUCACGGCACGAGCUGACGACAGCCAUGCAGCACCUGUGCGGGCUCCCGAAGGAGGACCGUGUUUCCACGGCUUCACCCCGCAUGUCAAGCCCUGGUAAGGUUCUUCGCGUUGCGUCGAAUUAAGCCACAUGCUCCGCCGCUUGUGCGGGCCCCCGUCAAUUCCUUUGAGUUUCAGCCUUGCGACUGUACUCCCCAGGCGGCAUAUUUAACGCGUUAGCUCCGGCACAGACAGAAUGAACUGCCCACACCAAAUAUCCAUCAUUUAGGGCGUGGACUAC